CCAAUGACAUUUAGGUGGCUGACAAUUCAAGCAAACCUUUUACUUUCUAGCAUUUUCUUCAUUCAUCCAAUAAGCAUGUACUGAGUGUGGCUGGUGAUUGUUCUAGGUGCCAGGGAGAGACUGGUGGAUACGACAAAUAAGGUCUGUGUCCCCGAAGAGCUUCUAUUAGAAUAGAGAGAGGAGAAAACAGCCAAGAAGCACAUAAAUCUGAUGCGACUUUCAGAAUUUCUCAUCAAUGGAAAACAUCUUUUCCAAGUCCCAAGCAACUUAGAGUGGUGGCGGGAUGAAAGGGAAAUUGGAUGCUGAAUUGGGGGUGAAUCCCGGACCUGCUGUUGUCUCAUCGCGUGCCCUUAGGCAGGCCACAAUCUUGCUGAGUCUCAGCUCCUGAAAAUUGGAAAUGACGUGGUGACUGGGUGGGUAAAUGGGCUAACAUAUGUGAAGAUUCUUAGGAAACGUGAGUCCAGCUGAGAGAGUGGAGGAGCAAAGGGCAGGUCCAGCACCUGUCGGGCAGCACGGAGCCAGGUCCCCUCCCAGAUCAAAGCAACAAGAGUCCGCUCCCGUGACGUGACGUAUCCAAGUACACGUACAGCGGGCACAAGACCUGCCGUCCUGACAGCCAACGAUACCCAUGACGGCGGAACUGUACAAGCAAUUUAUAAUUAUUACCACUCUGAGAAAAUAUGCAGAACACACAGGGUCAGUGUGGGCAAUGGUCUCGAAAUAAUGGAACAUGAGUCCGGGCUUUUACUUAAUUCUGCUUCAGUGGAGAUCAUUGGGUACGCAUGAUUUCCUAUUUGCAUGAACAAAAGUACCUUUGAACUUGGCACAGAUGCUUUCAUGCACACAGAGCAAUGCUCAGCACGGGCCAGGGGGAGGGAAAAGACACGACCGAGAAACCAGCAUCCAGUCCUUAUAACAAACAUCUCUUAUAAAUGCACACUCUGCUCAGAUGGUAAGAAAGUAUCACCUGCAGUGACAUUAACUGCAGAACUAUUUGUACCCUUUUCAGCAUUUUCUGCAGGUUUCUCAAAAGUUAUGGAGUAAGACCAGAUAUCAGAGUGGUAAAAGGUAUCUCUGACCUGCAUUAAUUAUGCCCCAUUGACUGCUAUUCCAAGUAAAUUAGCAAUGGAAGACUAUAUUUAGAAGAGCAGAAAAGAGUGCAUACUAACUACACAGAGGAAACUUCCAGCAUCAGAAAAGGCUUGCUUGUUCUUUUCUGAGUUUUUAGAAAUGAUUUCUAAAGUUGUUCGCUGAUGGAUUAGAUUAUGUCUGGAUCAAAGCUCUGAUUGUCUUGUACUCCCAGUGGGAACAGCGUGCCCCCUCUCAGGGCUCAGUCUGCCCUGUCAUGCCAUCAAAGCUUUUCUCUCUGGGCAGCUCUUUUGGAUAACGUGCCCUGACUCCUAGCCAAUUAGUGUUUAUGUUUUUUUGCAUUUUUUUUAUUAUGAUAUAAUUCACAUAGCAUUAAAAUCACCCUUUUGGGGUGCCUG